UACGUAGGGUGCGAGCGUUACUCGGAAUUACUGGGCGUAAAGCGUGCGCAGGCGGUUUUGUAAGGCAGAGGGGAAAUCCCCGGGCUCAACCUGGGAACUGCCUUUGUGACUGCAAGGCUUGAGUGCGGCAGAGGGGGAUGGAAUUCCGCGUGUAGCAGUGAAAUGCGUAGAUAUGCGGAGGAACACCGAUGGCGAAGGCAAUCCCCUGGGCCUGCACUGACGCUCAUGCACGAAAGCGUGGGGAGCAAACAGG
rnacentral:rRNA from 1 species